rnacentral:rRNA from 1 species
CCGGUUGAUCCUGCCGGAGGCUACCGCUAUUGGAGUUCGAUUAAGCCAUGCGAGUCGCGAGUCUUAGGGACUCGGCGUACCGCUCAGUAACACGUGGGUAACCUGCCCUAUGCUGGGGGAUAACCUCGGGAAACUGAGAAUAAUACCCCAUAGUUCACCAUGCCUGGAACGGUUGGUGGACCAAAGCUCCGGCGGCAUAGGAUGGGCCUGCGGCGUAUCAGGUUGUAGGGGGUGUAAUGUACCCUCUAGCCCUCUACGCGUACGGGUGUUGAGAGACAUCGCCCGGAGAUGGAUUCUGAGACACGAAUCCAGACCCUACGGGGUGCAGCAGGCGCGAAAACUUGGCAAUGCGAGAAAUCGUGACCAGGGAACUCCAAGUGCAUCGGGUAAGACCGAUGCUUUUCUUGACUCUUCAAAGGUCUUGGAAUAAGGGGUGGGUAAGGACGGUGCCAGCCGCCGCGGUAAUACCGGCGCCCCAAGUGGUAGUCGCUUUUAUUGGGCCUAAAACGUCCGUAGCCGGUUUGGUACAUUCGUGGGUAAAUCAAGCAGCUUAACUGCUUGAAUUCUGCGAGGACGGCCAGACUAGGGACUGGGAGAGGUGUGGGGUACUCUCGGGGUAGGGGUAAAAUCCUGUCAUCCCGAGAGGACCACCUGUUGCGAAGGCGCCACACUAGAACGGAUCCGACGGUCAGGGACGAAGCCUAGGGGCACGAACCGGAUUAGAUACCCGGGUAGUCCUAGGUGUAAACGCUGUGGACUUGAUGUUGGGGGCGCUCCGAGCGCACUCAGUGUCGAAGCGAAGGUGAUAAGUCCACUGCCUGGGGAGUACGGUCGCAAGGCUGAAACUUAAAGGAAUUGGCGGGGGAGCACCGCAACCUGAGGAUUGUGCGGUUUAAUUGGAUCAACGCCGGG